rnacentral:misc_RNA from 1 species
UUUGAGUUCAAGUAAUCUGAAACGAAAGGACCAUUUGCGAAAAUGGAUGUACACGCUCUAAAUGUGCGAAUGCUGUUUUUUCUGUGUCUUGUUACCUCUUGUGUCAGCUUUUUAGUCCCUGGACACCCAACGCCAAACAUGACCCUAGCACCGCCUGACAAAGAUGCCGCCCUCUCAUACCUAGUGCAGGAGGUGUUUGAUCUCAGAGUCCUACUCCAAAGCCAAGAGCGAGAAAUCCAAGCUCUGAAAUCCCAACAAGCGCUAGUGGAUAUUAACAACCAGACUGGGUUUCAAGCCGUCAAAACGUGGUUGGAAAACUUGGAAAAUUCCGUCCAAUUCUUAACCACGACUCAACAGAAUCACGAGAUUCGAGAUGAAGAGACAAACAGGACGAUUUUCCUAGAGUUGGAUCAAUUGAAUUCGGAAAUUUCAGAAUUAAGAAGCACUACAAAUAAAACAAUUAUGAAGAUAUACAAAGAACUGCAGAGUGAGAUCACGAAUCUUACUGCAAAGGAAUAUGGAGAUGUACAACGGAUUGAAGGCCUGAUCUUAGCAGAGCAUAAAGCAACAGGGAUAGAGAUAGCAGCACUGAAGGCUAGGCUGCAGCAUUUAAAUGACACCCUUAUAGGAAUAUUAAAACCAACUGGUAUAAGAUUAACCGGCGGAGAUGCCAACUCCGGUAGGGUAGAGAUUAGAUUCCUUGGAGAUUGGGGAACUGUUUGUGAUGACGAUUUUGGAAUAGAGGAAGCUAGAGUUGUCUGCCGGAUGCUUGGAAAGAGCACGACUAAUGCACAGGCUUUCAGCGGAUCAAACUUCGGACAAGGAACCGGAACUAUAGUGUAUGACGACUUAGGCUGUACAGGGUCCGAGCCCGACCUCUUUAAAUGUCCCCAUGCUGAACUUGGUCAUCACAACUGUGCUCAUACUGAGGAUGCUGGAGUAAGCUGUGGAUGAAGAUGCAACAAGUUGCGAAAAAAGGGAAAAAAUGAAAAAUUAUUCAAAAAUGUCAGACUGCAUUAAUUUUUUGUUUUGCAUUUUCGUCAAUAAAUAUUUGUCUU